UCAGUCCUGUGAUUUUGUGUAAUUAUUGGACUUACUUUGAAAUUAAGGUAAAUGAUACCCAAGGUAGAGCAUGAAAAAAAAGAAAAAACAGGCUAUGGUGUUUGAAAAACAAACAAAACCAUUUGGUUUGUUGGUUUGUUCUUAGACCUUCACAGGCUCCUAGGUCACACGUUUCAGUUUCUUAGCAAGUGGCAUUCUCUGCAGAAGCUGUGUCAGUCUCUGUUUGAUGAUGUCAGCCACAGCAGAAAGAAGCACUCCGUAGGCCCCGUGCUCAGCACCUUGGCGUGAGCUCCUGCCAUCUUCUGUUCAUGCUCAUCACAGCUCUGUGCAGUGGGCAUCCUCCUGAUCCCUGUGGGAGGAUGGAGGAUGGAGGCGGAAGGAUUUCUUUGCAUCGUCUCCCUUAUCCAGAAGUGAGGGUGAACGCUGAGUUAUUCACGGGAGUCAAGAAACCACACGCAGCCCAAAGAGACGUUUGUUUCCCUGGAAUGAUUUGUGUGUGUUCACCUUAAAAUGCAACUUAGUAAAACAGGUGUGUUUUGAGGAAUGACUUUAAAUUACCCAGGUAAAAAUGUGACAGUUAAAUUUCAUCGUCUGUGCGGGUGUCCACAACCCCCUUCUGUGAUUGCGUGUGAGUUUGUGACUUGUGGUUAUUUUUGAAGAAAGAAAAUCUGUUGCUGAGGACUUCAGAGGGUGUGCUGGGAUUGUGUAGGGUGGACAUCGGGGGCUUCAGUCUGUGGCUUCCUUGAAGAGGUUCAAAUUAAGGCUGAGAGUCCCUACUCCAAAAUGCUCUGAAACCUGAAACAUUCCGAGCUUUCCCAUGACACUCGAAGGAAAUACUCUUCAGAGCACUUUGGAUUUCAGGCUGGGGAUGCUCAACUGGAAAGUGAAAUAUUGCAAGACCCUUCUGGCCCCAGGAGCUUGGAUAAGGACAUGGAGGGGGCCUGUGCCGGGUGUCCCUGGUGUGUGAGGCAGCCUGGGCUCGCUGGACUGGUUUUUGUAGGAGCCACAGAAGGGAAAGAGGGUCAAAGUGGCCACGCCUGACUCCUGAGAAGGCUGAACCAGAAGGAGGUGGGCACGGAGGGCAGCAGUUGAGUCCCCAGCGUCCGGGGCUCCUGUCCCUGGUGGAGUUGAGAGCCUCCUCUAGUUGUGGCCUCUCCCCUGUCAGCAGCCACUGAGGCCUGAAGGGAGAGGGGGCUGAGGAGAGGAGGGAAGGAUAGGCCUGCUUCUGGAGAGGGCCGGCGUCGGCCUGUGCUAGCCUCAUGUGCUACUCCGGCAUCCAGGGUGCACGGCCGUGCCUCGUGGUGUAGUGGUUCCUGGGAUGCACAGCACUCUUGUCUGCAGUAACGUCUUUGUCUCCAACCCUUGGAGGCAAGUUACCUUUUUCCCCAGUGAAAAGAGGUAGAAAAUCUUAUAGAAAUGCAUUUGCUCUAAUGUCUGUUUUCCGAUAAGAAGUGGUCGCUUAGGCUAAAUCUUUGGGAGGUCAAGACAGGAGGAUCACUUGAGGUGAAGGGGUUGAAGAUCAGCCUGGACAACAUAGCAAGACCCCAUCUGUAUAACAGAAAAAUUAGCUGAGUGUGGUGGUGCGUGCCUGUGGUCCCUGCUACUCUGGAGGCUGAGGUGGGAAGAUCACUUAAGGCUACAGUGAGCUGCGAUUGCUCCGCUGUACUCCAAUCUUGGCGACAGAGCCAAGACCCUGUCUCAGAAAGAAAAGUUAAAAAAAAAAAAAUCCAGAAAUGUCAUUUUCUUUUUAAAUCAUCCCAAAAGAAAAACCUUUUUUUCUAAGAAUGUGAAGGGUAACUGAUACGAUUCUUUCCUUGCAUUGUUUCUCCUUUUCAAAUAUUUACAGUAGUCCGUCCACAUCAUCUCUCAUCUCUCAUCUCAUUACAGAGCAGCAGGUUUCUUUGAGGUUAGUGGUGUUUCUCUGUGUUGCACCUUGGAGAACAGCCAGCAUGAAACCUCUUACCACGAUCAUGCGCAUUGUUUGUAGUCUCAAUUCAAAUCCUCUCCAGAGACGCCUGUGCUACUUAUUAUAGCAGAACUUUGGUUGCGCUGACAUGUGCAUUCAGCUAACGGUUUUAAGUUCAUAUCUGAGAUGAUGCUGUAUAAUUCAUGAAGCAUAUGGGAUCAGUAAUGAUUGAUGAUAAUUCUGGCUGAUGUCAUUUAGAGGAUAUUUUUCACUUCAAAUUAAAACUUCCUUCGCGAUAGUCAUUUUGGGAUUCAUUUAACUAUGUGCUUUAUUUCAUAGCUCAAAUUUUCAUUAGUCAUUUCAUAACACAGGAUUUUGAAAGCAGACUUGGCAAAAUCUUUCUAACAAAAUGUUUGCUUCUGACGUCCCAAGGAACAGCACUCAGAAUUGCUGGUAACUGUGGUACAUUUUAAGGCUGAUGAUAGAAGUCACUUGAACGGUAAGGGCUGCUUUGUGAGGCAGAUGGGGUUUGAACCCCGACCCUCCUGAUACACCAGUCCUGACCCUGGCCUUCUCUCCUCUCCACUGGGAGAUGAGAAGGGUGCCAGCAUCCACCUCACAGGCCGUCCUGAGAACCUGGGACUAAGGGCUUGUGUUCCUCUUGCAGGUGGCGCAGAUGUGGGAGCUUGACGAUAUACACACUGCAGGCUGCCAGUGUCGGGGUAAUCCAGUUUUAUUCAUAAAGGGGGGAUUUGCUUUGCUCCCCUGCAGACCAGGUGCAGUGCUGCUGUUGUAGCAAGUGUGUGGAUCCUCUUGGGUGGUCCUCAGGUGGACAAGGAGUCACCGAUUCGGAUUCCCAGUGUUAGAUAUGAGGGGACCAAGGACCUCAUGUGUUCAGAGGGGAGGAGUAAAAAGCUUCCCUUGUAAUUCCAGGACUGUCUAUCCCAGGAAUGCCAAACCACUGGCUUUCACCUGAUGCUGUCGUAGGUGACACUGUAUGGAAAUGAGGACUCAUAUUUCGCAUACCUGAGCACUCAGUGCCCAUCUCCCUCCAGGGCCGUGGCCGAGCCCU
ensembl:lncRNA